rnacentral:rRNA from 1 species
CUACGGGUGGCAGCAGUGAGGAAUAUUGCACAAUGGGGGGAACCCUGAUGCAGCAACGCCGCGUGGAGGAUGACGCAUUUCGGUGUGUAAACUCCUUUUAUAUGUCAAGAAAAUGACGGUAGCAUAUGAAUAAGCACCGGCUAACUCCGUGCCAGCAGCCGCGGUAAUACGGAGGGUGCAAGCGUUACUCGGAAUCACUGGGCGUAAAGGACGCGUAGGCGGGUUGGAAAGUCAGGUGUGAAAUCCUACAGCUUAACUGUAGAACUGCACUUGAAACUUCUAAUCUAGAGUAUGGGAGGGGGAGAUGGAAUUAGUGGUGUAGGGGUAAAAUCCGUAGAUAUCACUAGGAAUACCUGAAGCGAAGGCGAUCUCCUGGAACAUUACUGACGCUAAGGCGUGAAAGCGUGGGGAGCAAACAGGAUUAGAUACCCUUGAGUC